rnacentral:rRNA from 1 species
UACGGAGGGGGCUAGCGUUGUUCGGAAUUACUGGGCGUAAAGCGCACGUAGGCGGCUUUGUAAGUUAGAGGUGAAAGCCCAGAGCUCAACUCUGGAAUUGCCUUUAAGACUGCAUCGCUUGAAUCAUGGAGAGGUGAGUGGAAUUCCGAGUGUAGAGGUGAAAUUCGUAGAUAUUCGGAAGAACACCAGUGGCGAAGGCGACUCACUGGACAUGUAUUGACGCUGAGGUGCGAAAGCGUGGGGAGCAAACAGGG